rnacentral:misc_RNA from 1 species
GAUGAAGAACGUAGCGAAAUGCGAUACUUGGUGUGAAUUGCAGAAUCCCGUGAACCAUCGAGUCUUUGAACGCAAGUUGCGCCCGAAGCCAUCAGGUUGAGGGCACGUUUGCCUGGGCGUCACAUAUCGUUGCCCAAUGCCUAUUGCAGUGCAAUAGGAAUUUCUAGGGCGAAUGAUGGCUUCCCGUGAGCGUUGUUGCCUCGCGGUUGGUUGAAAAUCGAGUCCUUGGUAGGGUGUGCCAUGGUAGAUGGUGGUCGAGUUAGAACGAUACCGAUCAUGUGCAUGCUCCCCAAAAUAUGGCCUCUAUGACCCACACGCGUCUUUUGACGCUCAUGACGAGACCUCAGGUCAGGCGGGGCUACCCGCUGAAUUUAAGCAUAUCAAUAAGCGGAGGA